rnacentral:rRNA from 1 species
UACGUAGGGGGCAAGCGUUGUCCGGAUUUAUUGGGCGUAAAGAGCGUGUAGGCGGUUUGGUAGGUCCGCUGUGAAAACUCGAGGCUCAACCUCGAGACGCCGGUGGAAACCAUCAGGCUAGAGUCCGGAAGAGGAGAGUGGAAUUCCUGGUGUAGCGGUGAAAUGCGCAGAUAUCAGGAAGAACACCCGUGGCUAAGGCGGCUCUCUAGUACGGUACUGACGCUGAGGCACGAAAGCGUGGGGAGCAAACAGG